rnacentral:rRNA from 1 species
AAUCAACGCUGGCGGCGUGCCUAACACAUGCAAGUCGCACAAGAAAGGGUCUUCGGAUCUGAGUAAAGUGGCGCACGGGUGAGUAACACGUGAAUUAUCUACCUUCGAGUGGGGAAUCACUUCGGGAAACCGAGGCUAAUACCGCAUAAUAUCUACGGAUCAAAGCAGUAAUGCGCUUGAAGAGGAGUUCGCGGCAGAUUAGUUAGUUGGCGGGGUAAUGGCCCACCAAGACGAUGAUCUGUAUUCGGCCUGAGAGGGAGCACGGACACACUGGAACUGAAACACGGUCCAGACUCCUACGGGAGGCAGCAGUGGGGAAUUUUGCGCAAUGGGGGAAACCCUGACGCAGCAACGCCGCGUGGAGGAUGAAGUCUCUUGGGACGUAAACUCCUUUCGAUAGGGAAGAUUAUGACGGUACCUAUAGAAGAAGCCCCGGCUAACUUCGUGCCAGCAGCCGCGGUAA